AUACGGAGGGUGCGAGCGUUAUCCGGAUUUAUUAGGUUUAAAGGGUGUGUAGGCGGGAGCCUAAGUCAGUGGUGAAAUCUCACAGCUUAACUGUGAAACUGCCAUUGAAACUGGGUUUCUUGAGUAUAGUUGAGGUAGGCGGAAUGUGUAAUGUAGCGGUGAAAUGCAUAGAUAUUACACAGAACACCGAUUGCGAAGGCAGCUUACUAAGCUAUUACUGACGCUGAUGCACGAAAGCGUGGGUAGCGAACAGAAUUAGAAACCCUAGUAGUCC
rnacentral:rRNA from 1 species